AGUGUAGCUAACAGCACUUGGGAGUGUGUACAAACUUUAGGUUAUUUAUCUUUUUAUACUCUUUACUCUCUCCUUAUGAAGAAUAAUAAAAGUAAGUUGUGG